rnacentral:rRNA from 1 species
CCUACGGGUGGCUGCAGUGAGGAAUAUUGGUCAAUGGACGAGAGUCUGAACCAGCCAAGUAGCGUGAAGGAUGACUGCCCUAUGGGUUGUAAACUUCUUUUAUAUGGGAAUAAAACGUUCCACGUGUGGGAUUUUGUAUGUACCAUAUGAAUAAGGAUCGGCUAACUCCGUGCCAGCAGCCGCGGUAAUACGGAGGAUCCGAGCGUUAUCCGGAUUUAUUGGGUUUAAAGGGAGCGUAGGUGGAUUGUUAAGUCAGUUGUGAAAGUUUGCGGAUCAACCGUAAAAUUGCAGUUGAAACUGGCAGUCUUGAGUACAGUAGAGGUGGGCGGAAUUCGUGGUGUAGCGGUGAAAUGCUUAGAUAUCACGAAGAACUCCGAGUGCGAAGGCAGUUCACUGGACUGCAACUGACACUGAGGCUCGAAAGUGUGGGUAUCAAACAGGAUUAGAUACCCGUGUAGUC